GGCGGCGCGACCCCCCAGCCCCGCGUUCCGGGGACGCGCGGGCCCCACCCGCGGGGCGCAGUCCUGGGAGUCCCUGCCCGGUGCGCGCGUGCCUGGGCAGGCAGCGUGGGGAUGCGAGCGAGCGGGGAUGCCGGGGGAAACAGGUGGAAUACGCUGGAAGAAGGCUGGUUGGGAAAGGCGGGGAGCAAGCUGGUCUGGUUCCCUAGGAGCCAGGGAUACUGGGGAAAGUCUCCAGAGGUAGAUGAUAGAUAAGUAGGUAGGUAGAUAGAUAGAUAGAUAGAUAGACAGACAGACAGACAGACAGACAGACAGAAGUGGGUAGAUAAUGGCCAGGGAUGAGAACACCGGAUAUAGAGACAUGGGAUGUCACACUGGCGAAUCAGAGCAGGCAGCAUGGCCUGGCAGAGAGCACAGAGGGCCCCAGCCCUGACAUUUCUUAUUGUCACCUCACACUGAACUCUGACCUCUCUGGGGCUCGGUUUCCCCCUCGUUCGAACUCCCACUCCAGUGUUCUGUCAGCACUGUUGGGAAAAGCUAAUGCCAUCACUGAAAAGUUAGUAGCACCUUAGAAAUAAAACUCAUGUUAGGAUGAAUUAAGCAGUCUGUCACUUUGAUUUUGACUCAUAACUUGAGAGAUCCCAGAUUCACUUAAAAGCACUCCAUACUUCUUAUUCUUUGCAAUUAAAGAUGAACUGGGUGUCCUCCAAAGUGUUUUGAUUCCCAGUUUGACUUACUUGAUUUGAACUCGGCGGAAGUGAAAUUUAACUUUUCAGAUGACUUUUGUGAUUUUUACACGUAAAAAGUUAAUUUGGGUGUUAAGGCAGCGUCAGUGUCAUUCCCAUGGAUGAGCAGUUUUACAAUUUCAUGAUUGAGAUUGUAAUUGGAGGUCAGUAGUCACAUAAAUAAAUGUUACCUAUAAAGAUCGUUAGACUCUAUGACCACAUGUUAUCUAUUUUUUCUUUUAAAUUAAGACACGAGAGAUGAAGCUAAAACCCUCUUUGGCAUCUUCAUACCUCUUUCCCUCCCUGUCCAAACAAAGGUCAUCCACUGACCACUUCGUGUUUCUUUGUGGACAUUUUCUGUGCAUUUACAUACUAAACAGACUCACAAACAACAUGUAAUUUUAUUGGUGGUUUUUAACAUAACUGAUAUCAUGCUAUAUGUAUACUUUUGCAACCUACAGAUCUGUCCAUGUUAGCAUUUAGUUAAUUAAUUUAUUUAUUUUAAGUUUAUUUUGUGUGAGAGAGAGAGAGAGAGCAUGAGAGGGGAGAGGGAGAGGGGUGUAGAGAGGGAGAGAUAGAAUAUCAAGCAGGCUCCAUGCUGCCAGCACAGAGCCUGACAGGGGCUCGAUCUCACUAACCAUGAGAUCAUGAUCUGAGCUGAAAUCAAGAGUUGGGAGCUUAACCAACUGAGCCACCCAGGCGUCCCUGUCCAUGUUAGUAUUUAAGAUAGAUUUACUUCUUUUUCUUUUUGCCCUGUUGCAUGACUUUCCACAAUAUAUGAAUAUGCCAAAGUUAAUUGAAUCAUCCCCCUGUUAAUUUACACUUAGGUGACUUAGUGUUUUACAUUCUAAAGGAUUUUGUGAGCCGUGUAAUCUCUUCAUGUAGCUGGUUCUAACAAAAAUGCACUUUGCAUAGACUAGGAAUGCCCAACCCAAUACUUCUGAGCAUGCUAUAGUAAUCUCAUUUAAGUCAAUGUAAAUUGUCUACCAACUUUAAUACAGGAGCAAAUAAGUCCAACAAGCAAGAAACCUAAAGGGAGUAUAUGUUGUGGGAAGUGUAUGUUGAGGCAGAGGUCCAGAGCAGGGUUUGCACAUCCUUCCAGACUCCAAAGAAGAGGUGAGGUUGGGGAAGGAUGGAGAAAGAGGGGUAUGUAACAAUCAGCCUGAAAAAGUGAUGCUCUAUGAUCAUGCAACCUCUAAUUAUACCAGUUUCUAAUUAUGUUGUCAUAUUCCCUUAUUCUUUUUUUUACAUGUAAAAUUUCUGUCUUGAAUUUGGCCAAAUCUUGGUGAUUUUCUUGCUGAUACUACAAUUAAUUCAUUUGUAUUAUUUUUAUCAUCACUUGAAGCAAGUCUUUGUUACUAUUUAUAAGAAUUAUCCUUUCCAUUGCACUUGCUGAAUUACAUAAAAAGUGUCAUUAGAAACCAUGAAAUGUCUGUAGAGAAAAGGAAUCAUAAGUUAACCAGUAACUCGUCCAAAGAGUGCCAGCCAGCAAGGCUCCCUCCACAGGGAACUCUGGCAUUGGGCAGGGCACUUGACCUCUCUGAACCUCAGUUUUCUCAUCUGUAAAAUGAGGCUGAAACCCCUGGUGAGGCCAGCAGGUAAGAUAAUGAGUCAGGCCAUGGAGUAGGGGCCAGUCUUCAGGGCCAACCAUUUGUGGGCAUUCUAGACUCCAAGAUCAAUAAUGCCAGAAUCCCUGCUUUUCUCAGCGGAGAAGCAGGGGCAGUUGGGGGGGGGGGGGGGCGUGGUAGUGUCCAAUUUCCAUUAGAAAUCUCUCAAAGUCUAGAUGUUAGCAAAUAAGUCAAAACUUUACAAAACACACCAUAUUUUUUUGUAAAGGGCUAAAUAAACUUGGGGCCAAAUAAUGUGUAAGUGCCGGCUAAAUUGAGCCUUUGGGCCACGGUAUUUAUCAUCUUGGUGCUGCACUAGUUACAAACAUCAUUUUGCUCUAAAUUUCUGCAAUUUGAUUUUAGCAGUUUCUCAAAACAGGGAGAGAGUAGCGAUGUUGAGCCCACAUUCUGAGUUCAGACUGGGUGGAACUGUCCACCCACACAGUUUGUUCUGAAGUGCCCUGAGUGAAAACCAGUCCCUGGCCUGUCUGUUCAGCUCAUCCUCUGGUUCUACUGCCAUGGCCAGGCCCAGCUCAGCAACUUGAACCUGGGAGGUACAUUGCUGUUGCCUCAGGCAAUAAAUAGAUUUAGGAGAUGGGCUGGAGACAGCUCCUCCUUUGAUAUCUGCAGAAGGUGAGGCUCAUGGUUUGAGGUAUGGUUUAUCGUUCUUUUUGCCUUAAAGUUCCAGACAGAGCAGAAAUACAGCAAGCAAAUAUCAGGAGCUGAAUAACAGCUGCAUUUAGGGAAGAUGCUUUCUCAACUGGUUUCAUGUUUAAAUUUUAAGAAUGAAGUUGAAACAAACAGAAAGUGUAACAGACACCAAUUUAUUCAUCCCUGAGAUUAGGCAAGUAUUAAUAGGCUUUGACCCAUUUGUUCUCAGGUCUCUCCCUUUAGGGAAAACAACAUGUAUAUAUAUAAAAAGUCAUCCACAUGUUCUUUGCCCCCUCUUUUGUGCACAGUUCUGUAUUUAUCCAUUUUGUGUGUGUGUGUGUGUGUGUUAGUCACUAUGAAAAAUAAAUGUUUUCGUUUUGUGGUCCUUCAAAUGCAAUAAAUGGUUUCACAUUCAUAAGCUUGCUCCCCUCACUCCAUAUUACGGUUUUGGAUUUUAUCCAUGUUGAUACAUAUAGAUGUGACUCACGUAUACACAUAUGGAUGUGAUGGUUGAUGCAUAGUAUCCAGUUAUACAAAUAAAGCACAGUCUAUUUUUCCAUUCCCCCCGAGCACAGGAAGUUGGUUUCCAUGGUUUUGUUUUACAAAGUCGCGACAACAUAACUGCUCCGUGUAGGUACCAUUGUGACAACUAGAUUUGGAAUUCCUAGGUAGAAUUCAAAGGGAAAGCAUACUUUAAGUUGCAUGAAGAAUUGCCAAACAGACUCCAAAAUGGUGGAGCCAAUAAUGUGCCAGAGUAUCUGCUUCCCCACAUCCUCAGCAAAACUUGAUGUGUUUCGAUGUUAGAUAUUUUGUUGUUACAUGAACUUCUCAAGGAAAAUUUCUACAAGCGGAAGUUGAGAAAUUUGCAGUAUUUUCCCUCGAAUCAAAUGUCAAAGCAUAUCUGGAGAGACCCAAAACAACAAGGUGACAGUUGGGCUUAGGAUCUCUUGGACUUUUCUCUAGGUUUCUUGAAGGCCAAUCUGCCUUGAACCAUGCAUCGGAAUGAAACUAAAUUGAUUUCCUUAUAUCAAGUUGAGCAGUAGCUUGGUAAGCACGAUAGUACAACCUCAGUAGAUUGUAUAAUGACUGCAUUCUAAUCUCAGAAGCAAAUGCAGUUGCAGGGGAAAAAAAUCAAAUGGAGAUAAAGAAAAGACCUUAAGACUCCACGAUUUUGUAAAGGAGGAAAAUGUUGGAGAUUUUGACCUACACCCGUUGAAACAAAAUAUCACCUGGACCCGUUUUGAACCUCAUCAUACAUAUGACUCCUAAACUUUUUAUGUAAUCAGGUUAGCACGAAUGCAAAGCGUUUAACAUGUUCCGAUGCAAAACCAGAAGACGAAUUCCAAUUAUUCUUAACAUCCGCCCACUAACAUACCGUAAAUGAUUUACUUGGGAAUCUAUUGCAAUAAAGUUCACCUUCAGAAAGUGGCAGUCAGAAAAGCUUCACGAAAACCAGACUUGUUUUCACAUCGAAACUGCUGUGCUUUUUCAUUUGGAGAAAUCACUGACUUGCUCUAAAUAGAGUGGGCUCUUUGUUGUUGUUAUUAUAAGCUUUCCUUGGCCUAGAAUUUUCCUGUUUAUUCACUAUGAGGAAGAGCGUGCGUUGUGUUUCUAACAUUGGAGUGGUGGUUCCUAACUCUGUAGGCGUAUUGAAGGUAGUGAUGUUCAUCAUAAUCACCACAAUGAGCUGUGACCCCCGAAGAGGUGAUCUCCAGUGAUCUGUAUCUGGGGCUUUCCGGAGAAGUACAACUGGGCACAGCUGUGCAUUAGAAUAAAUUAAGGGCUUCUUAAUUACAUUCAUAUUUUCUCCCUGAACUCUUAAGUCCAUCAUUUCUCACCAUUUUUGCCAUGAGGACCCUUUGCCCCUGCAAAACUUUUUAACAGAGACAAACAUAUUUGAGAGGAUAGUUAGAAAGUCAGUCUUUACGUAACUCAUGCCACCCACAGCCAGCUGCGUGGCCCUGGCUGAGUUGGUGAACUUUGUUUCCCUUAUUUGUAAAAGGGGGACAACAGGAUAGACCUGUGGGUUUAUAUAUAUGAUAACAAUUACGUACAAUGGUGUCUCUAAAUGCUUAGCGUGUGCCUAGCACGUUAGGCGCUCAGUAGGUAUUCGUGGUGGUGAAGGGUGAUAUUUGGCAGCCGUUUGACCAAACCUUCAUCUGGCUUCUACCUACCGGAACCCACCAGUCAAAAGUCUUUACCCUUUGCUUUACAGUCUCUUGCUGUACAACUGAGAGAUCAGUCGGGCUAUUCAUUUUUUAAUAUGAGACUCUGAUGAUAUCACAAAGUCUUUGCUUUAAUUUUUUAUUCCAGUUUAACAACAGGAACAAAUAUAAAUGACAUUGUACUCGCAGACAUUGGAUUUUUGAAAGAUUUGACUUUUGAACGUACGUGAAGUAAUUUCUGUGUAAAUAGAUUCUUGAGUGUUAUGCAUUUUCCGAAGGAAAUAGAGUGGUUCUGUUUGUUUGCUUACUUGCUUUGCCAUUUUUUAAAAAGAUUUGGAAGUACAUAUAUAAACAUCUUGAAUUGUGCUGCUUAAAAUAAGCAUUUGGGGCCAAAGAGCCCGGGAUAACAGUGACCAGCCUAAGAACAGGGUGAAUCUGGGGAAUUUCUGAGAACCUGGUGGCCCAGGAACAUCUGAAUGUUCCAAGCAGAGACCAGACCAAAGUAGUGGGUGGGAAUAAGGGCAACACAGAUCAGAAGGCUCAUUGGAAUUCAUCUGACUUCAGAGUUUAGGUCAAGCUUAGGUAGAGGAUUGACUCAAACUUGGUGGUUAUCAUACUUGGCCAGAAGAACCUAAACAAAGAGGAGACAGUAUGUCUAAGGUCAGUAGGGGGGGGGGCAGAUGGAAACCAGGUGACACGAGAAAUCAGAGUGUAGUGACAUCUGCUCUUUUUUCCUGACCUCUCUCCUGUCCCCCUCUGGUGGUGGCAUGUCGAUUUUACUUGAGGGAGCUAUCAUCCCCUCAUUGCCAAGGGCGUGGGCACAUGACCUCAGCUGAGCCAGUAAGUGCCCUCCCCCAGGAAUUCGGAUCUUCAACUGAAAACGCAAGGAGCUUAUUCAUCCUGACAGCAGUGCCCUGAAAAACUUUCCGUUCGUUUUUGUACCUUGAUCCCCACAACGGCCCUGAGGCUGGUCUUUUCUGAGGCCUGUUUAUUUAACUUUUCUUCAACUUCUGUGUGCUGCCCCAUGUCAUUCCAACAAAUUCCUCUUUUAUCAUUGAGUUAGCCUAAAUAAUUUCUGUUGCUUGCCACCAAAGAACCCUGGCAAGGGUUCAGGAAUCCAGACAACAGUCUGGCCAGCAGAACUGGUGGGUCAGCAACCUUCUCCCCUGGCCAAGAAGCCUCUUAUAUUAACAUGUGAGGAGAGAGUUACCCUCAGGAGCAACAAAUGCAGGCCAGCAAGUGCACAUGGGUGAACUCUUGCUAGGAAACUGAUCUGGCGGUUGCCCAAGGUGGACUGGGGGAAUGUGAGAACUGAGUUACUGGUUAAUCAUUGCUUAUCACCAAAUUAUGAGGCACUUUCUGUUUUGAAUGCAUCUAGUAUGAGUGCCAGCCCAGGUAAAAUCAAUGUUGACUCAAUCAAUCUAUUAAAAAAAGUGGAAACUAUUGAAAUGUCUCUUCCCAGAAGAUGUCACUUGGAAUAACACCUUGACUUAGACCCUCAUCAAAGUAACCUUCCUUGCCAGCUUGGUUUCAGCCCUCUGCCUUGCUGAUCCAGGCCCCUUGAGCAGUUAUGGUCCUUGCCUUUUGUACCAAGAAGGAUCCGGUCAAAAUUUUUGCUGCACGCUGUCCUUUGGUAUUCAUUUCUAAGUCUAUUGUCAUGAAAUAUGUCUUUGCACUUUGCAGGGCAUGCCUUUUCUUCACCAGCAAAUUAUUUUCUUUAGCUGCUUCAAAUAAUUUAAUCUGAACACAUUUGGAGGUCAUACACAGAACCAAACAAACCAAAUAAAGCGUUUGAAGUAUAUGAAAAAAACCUAACCCCGUUUUUUUCAUCACGCACAUUUUGGAAAAAUUCUCUACACACGGGCGUACACAUUCUUGACCCUUAUGCCGCCUGGCUGUUCCAUUGGACUUUUGACAUUAGGUUGAAUUUGUUUUUUAGAAGUGGAUUCGGCCAACCAAAUUGUAAAAAAAAAAAUCAAAAGCUUCUGGCCAAGUGCAAGGUUUAGUUGAUUACUGAUUAAAUGGAGAAUGGGUAGCUUGAGGUGAAUUGCCCCAGGGCUCUCAGCGAUUAGCCCAGGUGGUUAGCACUUGGUACUACUAGUCAGUGUACAAAGAUCACGUAACAUCUCCAUAUGGCCUGGUUGACCUCUGGCUGUCUGAGAAAAAGUGGUGUUUGCUCUUGUGCGUAUGGCGAAACGGUCACUGCUGCUCCGGGAGGAAUAUAAAUGUAACUCGAAGAUGGUGUGUUCACCUUCGAAUAUAAAAAGGAUGUAUUAUAUUUCAUUUGUCAGACGGUGCACCCGUUUUCCCCCAUUCCCAUCAUCAUAUUACUGUCUUUACCUUUUAUGCGUAUUUGGCCCUCUUGAGACCAGAGGGUGAGGGCCUGCUCCAUGGGUACUUAUGGUCCCCACAGAAGAGGGUGAAUAUAUUCCCCAUCACUAGCCAGGGAAGAAGUACAAAGGAAAGCGAAAUUCAGAAAGAAAGCCUUAGGCCAGUUCUCAUCGUUUAGUCUGUGCAAUAGUCCUCUGUGGCGCUUAUUUUAAAGGGCAGGUUUCCUGGCAAAAUCCUCAUGCUGUGGCCUGGGAAUCUGCACUCGUCACAUCUCAGAUGAUUCCUGGUUUUAUUAGGGAGCAAGCAGGUUCCCCUAUUUGUAGAUUUUAAUAUAAUUGAUAUACCAUGCGGGGAGUGUAGACUAUCCAUUUUUGAGAGGUAUUCUAUGAGAUAAAAUAUCCUCGCUUCAAGACACAAAUGAAGAAUCAUAAAGCUUCCCUUCCUAAUUGUUUGUCAUACCUCAACUUUGAGAAUCAUAUUAAUAUUUGCCUUACAGAUUCACUUUGCCACACCUCAUGUUAAUUAUUCAGUUAUGUUUUGGACAGUGUGAAAUAUACGUGAAUCUAUGUAACAAGUUGUGUAAUAAUUAGACUUAAUUGUGUGAAGGUUGAAUAAAAAUACAAUUAAUUUCAUUGGAAAUAAAAGCUAGUGUUUGGUCAUCAGUAUAAUUCACUAUAGAAAACAGAUGCAUCUUAGAAAAGGCCCUAGGCAAGAAUUUUUUCAAAAAUCAAACUGUAGAUAACUUACAUCUUCAAAGAAAUUUUGAACCCAUCAAGAAAUAAGCUUUAAGAAUCAGCCCUAUAUUUAGUACUUACUGUAAACACACUUGGCAGGAAAAUUAAAUAAUAGUACAUCGGUACUAUCAAUGCAGAGCCAAAAUGUAGAGAGAAUGAAGAAAAUUAAUUUUUUGUGGUUGUCAAUAGGACAGACAAUUCCACCUGGAACAGCUAGUUAGAAACUACUUGGAACAGCUGCCCUCAUAGAAGGUCUUCUCACUUUUUAGAUAGACACUUUCCAGAUAUUUUCAGUACGCAUGGUGCAACUGCAGGUGCCUGACCGUGCAUCCCUCCCAUCCUGUAAUCAUGACGGCACAUUGUCUUUAAAAGUUCGG